AACAUGCAUUUGGUGUAGUUAUGGCAUCAACCAGCAGAUGUUAAUCAGAUGACCCGCUGGUAAUGUGUUGACUCCAGCAAUGCAUUCACAGCUAUUUUUGGGUGUUCAGUGCAGGACGAACACACAGGGUCCCAACCCGGAUGCUUGAGUACACCAGUCGUGACACAGCUAGGCCUGAAUGAAGCACAGGGCUUGUUUAUGCAUGUGUUUGUUGGAGUCUGGUCUGCUAUGGUCUUCUGAAUCAUCUCUGAACUCCAGAGAUCAUCCGUGACUCAGUCAAAGUACACAUCAGACUCGCUCCCACAGCACGGACAAAAAGAGUGACAGCGAUUCUGUUGCCAACUUCCCAGAUCUCAAGUGGAAAGGUCCAGAUUUAGGAGCUGAACACACACUGAGUCGGGCUAAUUUGGGCUCCUCUUUAUUUGAGCACAAGCAGUCAGAAGUGCUGAGAGCGAGUGAACGGCCGGACCGCACAGACUUCUCCUUUGAUCCAGCAUGGCAGAUGUGAAGAACUGACAUCGCAUUACCGGACACAAGAGCCGUCUGCCAUCGUGUAUAAAGGCCUCAGUCAUCAGAUGCUACAGGAUGCUUCCUACCAGCAGCUAAACAUCAGUCAGCGAUAGAGAGGCCUGAUGUUAGCCCUAGCAUCAUCUCUCCACCGCUGCUGACAAAUACACAAAAUCAGUCUCUGAACAACGCAUGCCAUCCAAAGUAGAAUCCGCUGCUGUCUGCAAUAUCCUGAUAAGAGAUUUGAUAGCAUAAAUAUUUAUAAAGAGUCAAAGGAAAUGAAAACGAAUUCGCAUUCAGCUUUGUUAUCAUAUGACGUGCUGUUCUAAAACUGCAUCGUGUGAAUACAUUUCAUUCCCUGCACUAGAGAAACUGUAGAUUGACAUUUUUUAUAAUUGGAUGGUUAACAUGAAAUAUGAAAACAGUUCAUAAAAAGCUGUCAUGUUCUAUGAUGUGACAUGCUAUACUCUAAUCUUGAACAUUUCUUCCAUAUACUAAAUAAUAAUAAUAA